GAUGAAGAACGUAGCGAAAUGCGAUAAGUAAUGUGAAUUGCAGAAUUCCGUGAAUCAUCGAAUCUUUGAACGCACAUUGCGCCCGCCAGUAUUCUGGCGGGCAUGCCUGUUCGAGCGUCAUUUCAACCCUCAAGCCCCCGGGCUUGGUGUUGGGGCUCGGCCCGUCCCUAGCGGAUGCGCCGUCCCCGAAAUCUAGUGGCGGUCUCGCUGUAGCCUCCUCUGCGUAGUAGCUAACACCUCGCAAUGGGAACGCAGCGCGGCCACGCCGUUAAACCCCCCACUUCUGAAGGUUGACCUCGGAUCAGGUAGGAAUACCCGCUGAACUUAAGCAUAUCAAUAAGCGGAGGA
rnacentral:misc_RNA from 1 species